CAACUACUCCCUCCGUCCCAAAAUACUUGUCAGAGAAAUGAAUAAAAAUGGAUGUAUCUAAACUAAGAUAUGUAUAGAUACAUCCAUUCCUUCGACAAGUAUUUCUGGACGGAGGGAGUAUCAU
rfam:Triticum aestivum genome assembly, contig: Triticum_aestivum_CS42_TGACv1_scaffold_514194_6BS